GAUGAACGCUGGCGGCGUGCCUAAUACAUGCAAGUCGAGCGAACAGACGAGGAGCUUGCUCCUCUGACGUUAGCGGCGGACGGGUGAGUAACACGUGGAUAACCUACCUAUAAUACUGGGAUAACUUCGGGAAACCGGAGCUAAUACCGGAUAAUAUAUUGAACCGCAUGGUUCAAUAGUGAAAGACGGCGUUGCUGUCACUUAUAGAUGGAUCCGCGCCGCAUUAGCUAGUUGGUAAGGUAACGGCUUACCAAGGCGACGAUGCGUAGCCGACCUGAGAGGGUGAUCGGCGACACUGGAGCUGAGACACGGUCCAGACUCCUACGGGAGGCACCAGUAGGGAAUCUUACGCAAUGGGCGAGAGCCUGACGGAGCAACGCGGCGUGAGUGAUGAAGGUCUUCGGAUCGUGAAAUUCUGUUAUUAGGGAUGAACAACUGUGUAAGUAACUAUGCACGUCUUGACGGUACCUAAUCAGAAAGCCCCGGCUAACUACGUG
rnacentral:rRNA from 1 species